ACACUUUCAACGAGUCGGAUUGUUUGGGAAUGCAGUCCAAAAUGGGUGGUAAAUUUCAUCUAAAGCUAAAUAUUGGCGAGAGACCGAUAGCGAACAAGUACCGUGAGGGAAAGAUGAAAAGAACUUUGAAAAGAGAGUUAAACAGUACGUGAAAUUGUCAAAAGGGAAGCGUUUGACACCAGUGUUGUUUUUCCGAAAAUCAAUUACGAAUGUUUUAUUUUUGAGGAGUUAUGACUUCAUCGGCUUGCUUCUUUCUUUAUGAAACUUUCUUAAUGCACUUUUCGGUUAACAAGUCAACAUCAAUUUCUUUUGUUGUAAAAGGGUAUGAGGAAGGUGGCUUUCUUUUCGGAGAAAGUGUUUAUAGCCUUGUGCCUCUGCAAUCGGAGAGAUUGAGGUCUGCAGCGUAGAUCCUUCGGGGUUAGAUACGUUUGUGCUAAGUUAUAGCUUUUCAUAGACAACUUGUUGACUAUGUUUAGUCUUGUAGCUUACUCGCUGACGCUA
rnacentral:rRNA from 1 species